rnacentral:rRNA from 1 species
UGGGGAAUAUUGCACAAUGGGCGAAAGCCUGAUGCAGCGACGCCGCGUGGAGGAUGAAGGCCUUCGGGUCGUAAACUCCUGUCUGGGGGGAUGAACACUGACAGUACCCCCGGAGGAAGCCCCGGCUAACUACGUGCCAGCAGCCGCGGUAAUACGUAGGGGGCGAGCGUUGUCCGGAAUUACUGGGCGUAAAGCGCGCGCAGGCGGCUUGUUAAGUCAGGUGUCAAAAUGCGGGGCUCAACCCCGUAUCGCACUUGAAACUGGCAGGCUUGAGUGCAGGAGAGGGAAGUGGAAUUCCUAGUGUAGCGGUGAAAUGCGUAGAUAUUAGGAGGAACACCAGUGGCGAAGGCGACUUCCUGGACUGUAACUGACGCUCAGGCGCGAAAGCUAGGGGAGCAAACAGG